GAUGAACGCUGGCGGCGUGCCUAAUACAUGCAAGUCGAGCGAACAGACGAGGAGCUUGCUCCUCUGACGUUAGCGGCGGACGGGUGAGUAACACGUGGAUAACCUACCUAUAAGACUGGGAUAACUUCGGGAAACCGGAGCUAAUACCGGAUAAUAUAUUGAACCGCAUGGUUCAAUAGUGAAAGACGGUUUUGCUGUCACUGAUAGAUGGAUCCGCGCCGCAUUAGCUAGUUGGUAAGGUAACGGCUUACCAAGGCGACGAUGAGUAGCCGACCUGAGAGGGUGAUCGGCCACACUGGAACUGAGACACGGUCCAGACUCCUACGGGAGGCAGCAGUAGGGAAUCUUCCGCAAUGGGCGAAAGCCUGACGGAGCAACGCCGCGUGAGUGAUGAAGGUCUUCGGAUCGUAAAACUCUGUUAUUAGGGAAGAACAAAUGUGUAAGUAACUAUGCACGUCUUGACGGUACCUAAUCAGAAAGCCACGGCUAACUACGUG
rnacentral:rRNA from 1 species